AAAUUGAAGAGUUUGAUCAUGGCUCAGAUUGAACGCUGGCGGCAGGCCUAACACAUGCAAGUCGAACGGUAACAGAGAUCAG
rnacentral:rRNA from 1 species